rnacentral:rRNA from 1 species
AGUGAACGCUGGCGGUAGGCCUAACACAUGCAGGUCGAACGGCAGCACAGUAAGAGCUUGCUCUUACGGGUGGCGAGUGGCGGACGGGUGAGGAAUACAUCGGAAUCUACUUUUUCGUGGGGGAUAACGUAGGGAAACUUACGCUAAUACCGCAUACGACCUACGGGUGAAAGCAGGGGAUCUUCGGACCUUGCGCGAUUGAAUGAGCCGAUGUCGGAUUAGCUAGUUGGCGGGGUAAAGGCCCACCAAGGCGACGAUCCGUAGCUGGUCUGAGAGGAUGAUCAGCCACACUGGAACUGAGACACGGUCCAGACUCCUACGGGAGGCAGCAGUGGGGAAUAUUGGACAAUGGGCGCAAGCCUUAUCCAGCCAUACCGCGUGGGUGAAGAAGGCCUUCGGGUUGUAAAGCCCUUUUGUUGGGAAAGAAAAGCAGCAGGUUAAUACCCCGCUGUUCUGACGGUACCCAAAGAAUAAGCACCGGCUAACUUCGUG